rnacentral:lncRNA from 1 species
AGCUAACUGAAAACUGUAGUUCAACCUCUAUGUACUUUCUGUGAAGUACCUAGUAUUUUCUUUGCCAAGAAAGAAUGUGUGAGAGAACUGAGACUCAGACCUAGUCCUGCUGGUGGAGGUUGGGAGGGUGAUGUAGAAGGACAUUUACUGGGAAAGAGUGGAACAGACACAUAAUAAAAUACUUAUGGUAUAGUGUAGCAAUUAUCCAAUGCAUAUGUUUUGAAUGGAUACUCGAAUGAAUAUUAAAAAAGGCUGAAAGAGCUUGAAGGUGGGGCUCUGUUCCUGAAGAGAUUACAUGGGAACCUGGAAUGAUUGAAAGUUAACAGUUUGCCUGGUGAUUUAUAAGUGAAAGGCAUACUUCCAUCACAGCACUAUUAGAACGAUAUUCCAAUUGAUGGUUCAUGCAUUGAUUGAAUAAGAAGUACUUACUACCUUAUCAUAUGUCAGCAAAUUUGCUAAACUCAGAGAACAGUAAGAAAUAAAAUGAAAUAGCUAUCCUGAAAUAACUUAUAAUCUAGUUCAGGGGUUUCUAAUUUCUCCACAAAUCUGGGGAUAUGUUUUUUUCUCCCUUUUGAUUUCCAGAUCUCAGCCCAGUUCUUAGUAUACAUUGGAUUUCAGGAAAUAUAUAUUGAACACGUCAAUUCUCUUUGCAUCCCUGAAAAAAUCAUCUACUGUUUUGAAAUCUGAGACUAACAUCUCUGGAUAUAGAGAAGUAAUUGAUCUAGAGUUACACUAAGCCAAACAUAGGUAAGUUUCUCUGACCCAUUUUCAUGAUUCUUUAAUCUUUCUAGAGGUAAUCUUUCUAUGCUCUAUUUUCCUAAAAUAUAAUAAACACAUAAACAAUGGUAUAAAAUUUUAUUCAAUCAAUACAUAUUGAUCAUUUAAAGCAUUGUUUUAUUUUUUAUUGUAUGGAGUCU